rnacentral:rRNA from 1 species
CCUACGGGAGACAGCAGUGGGGAAUAUUGGGCAAUGGGCGAAAGCCUGACCCAGCAAUGCCGCGUGAAUGAAGAAGGUCUUAGGAUUGUAAAAUUCUGUCCUAUGGGAAGAAAAAAAUGACGGUACCAUAGGAGGAAGCCCCGGCUAACUACGUGCCAGCAGCCGCGGUAAUACGUAGGGGGCGAGCGUUGUCCGGAAUUACUGGGUGUAAAGGGAGCGUAGACGGCAAUACAAGUCGGAAGUGAAAUACCCGGGCUCAACCUGGGAACUGCUUUGGAAACUGUAUGGCUGGAGUGCUGGAGAGGUAAGCGGAAUUCCUAGUGUAGCGGUGAAAUGCGUAGAUAUUAGGAGGAACACCAGUGGCGAAGGCGGCUUACUGGACAGUAACUGACGUUGAGGCUCGAAAGCGUGGGGAGCAAACAGGAUUAGAUACCCGAGUAGUC